GCCCAGGUGAUGUAAUGGCAGCCAUGCAAGUCUGAGGGGCUUGUGCCCGUAAGGGCGUGGGGGUUCGACUCCCCCCCUGGGCA
rnacentral:tRNA from 1 species